UACGUAGGGUGCAAGCGUUGUCCGGAAUUAUUGGGCGUAAAGAGCUCGUAGGCGGUCUGUCGCGUCGGCUGUGAAAUCCCGAGGCUCAACCUCGGGUCUGCAGUCGAUACGGGCAAACUAGAGUAUUGCAGGGGAGACUGGAAUUCCUGGUGUAGCGGUGAAAUGCGCAGAUAUCAGGAGGAACACCGGUGGCGAAGGCAGGUCUCUGGGCAUUAACUGACGCUGAGGAGCGAAAGCAUGGGGAGCGAACAGG
rnacentral:rRNA from 1 species